AUUGAACGCUGGCGGCAGGCCUAACACAUGCAAGUCGAGCGGAUGAAGGGAGCUUGCUCCUGGAUUCAGCGGCGUACGGGUGAGUAAUGCCUAGGAAUCUGCCUGGCAGUGGGGGAUAACGUCCGGAAACGGGCGCUAAUACCGCAUACGUCCUGAGGGACAAAGUGGGGGAUCUUCGGACCUCACGCUAUCAGAUGAGCCUAGGUCGGAUUAGCUAGUUGGUGGGGUAAAGGCCUACCAAGGCGACGAUCCGUAACUGGUCUGAGAGGAUGAUCAGUCACACUGGAACUGAGACACGGUCCAGACUCCUACGGGAGGCAGCAGUGGGGAAUAUUGGACAAUGGGCGAAAGCCUGAUCCAGCCAUGCCGCGUGUGUGAAGAAGGUCUUCGGAUUGUAAAGCACUUUAAGUUGGGAGGAAGGGCAGUAAGUUAAUACCUUGCUGUUUUGACGUUACCAACAGAAUAAGCACCGGCUAACUUCGUG
rnacentral:rRNA from 1 species